rnacentral:rRNA from 1 species
ACGAACGCUGGCGGCAUGCCUAACACAUGCAAGUCGCACGAGACCUUCGGGUCUAGUGGCGCACGGGUGCGUAACGCGUGGGAACCUGCCUUUAGGUUCGGAAUAACUCAGAGAAAUUUGAGCUAAUACCGGAUGAUGUCUUCGGACCAAAGAUUUAUCGCCUUUAGAUGGGCCCGCGUUGGAUUAGCUAGUUGGUGGGGUAAAGGCCUACCAAGGCGACGAUCCAUAGCUGGUCUGAGAGGAUGAUCAGCCACACUGGGACUGAGACACGGCCCAGACUCCUACGGGAGGCAGCAGUGGGGAAUAUUGGACAAUGGGCGAAAGCCUGAUCCAGCAAUGCCGCGUGAGUGAUGAAGGCCUUAGGGUUGUAAAGCUCUUUUACCCGAGAUGAUAAUGACAGUAUCGGGAGAAUAAGCUCCGGCUAACUCCGUG